AACUUUUUAUGAUGGACAUACUUACAUUCGAUGUAGUAGGGACGGGGUGAAUGGGACGAAUUAAAAAGGUACCCAAAUGAAUCAAACAAAUAAGAUGUUUGAUAGCAAACGUAAACGCAAGUCGGAUGACGGGAGCGUAUUACGUUAGAAUAACGAGCCCGAGAGAAGGGACAAAGAUUAAAGUAAAUGGAAAUACAGACCGACUAAUAGGAAUGCUAACGUAUAAGGAUAAAAGUUUGACUGUCACAGGUGAUGAAAUUCACAUGGACAAGUCAAACGAAUUGAAUAAAGAAUAAAGGACUUGAUUGAAUAAAAGCGAUGGGUCUCGCUAAGACGACCAAUUAAAUUAAAAUAACGUCUAAAACCAUAUAGAAAUGGUUACUUGAAAAGGAGUACGGUAAGGAUACCCGAUGAAUGGGUAGGAUUUGGAAAGAAUGCGUAAACCAAGAGACGGGAACGCGAAACAGAAAGUCAAAAGACUCGGAAUAUGAGUCAUGACUAAAAGACAAUGAGGAUUUGCAAACAGAAAUGUUAAUAACUACGCUCAACUAUUUUAAAGUUGAACGGGUCGAAUAAAGAACAGAGUUUGAUGUUCACAAGUGAUGAAAUUUCACACGAACAAGUCAAACGAGAUAAAUAAAGUAUAAAAACUUGGUAGUGCAAGUAAGUGCAAACCGAAUAAUGGAAGCGGGAAACAUUAAUGAACCUACGUGAUGGCUCAUAAAGGAAUAUACAUAGGAAAAACGCAAACUAGCGAAACAAAAAAAAAUGUUAAAAACAUUAAAAUAAAAGAACCCGGGUAAUGGGACGUAAAGGGGUAUAAGUAUGAACGGGGUAACGGUAAGUGUAUGGAAAAAAAAACCGACGUGUAAAUCGAAGUUGGAAGUCGAGAAGUCGGAAAGAUGAUUCGAAAGAAAACAAUGUAGCCUUAGACUACGGUCAAGGUCAAAUGAAAUCCAAAAAGUAAAGGUGAAUAAUUAUAAACAUAAAAAGGGGUGCCUUAACGCCAUAUGCGUAUAUAAAUGUAUACACAUUUGAACAAAGACUACAAUAAAAGAUGAUCUACGGGAUCAUCAUAACCUACGGGAUAUUAAUUAGUGUAAAGGUCUACGGGGCCAAAAUGACCCACGGGUCAUGAAUUGAAGUAAAAAGGGAUCAUAAGGGCCUCGCCUUAAAAAGGUGCAAAAAUCUAAAGGAAUAGCCUACAAGGCUGAGUAAAAGAACCUACGGGUCGGUGAGUUAAGUGUGGAAACUGAUUUUAAUUCCACGAAUUAAAUAAUAUCGGAAAAGAAUGAAUCCUCGGACUUAAAAUUCCUAGGAGUAAUAAAAGGACAUAAGGCAAGGUGAAGAGAAAACGUUAAACUAAAAUUUAGUUUUAGUAAGAAAUGACGUUUAACAAAUAUAUAAGUAUUAUGAGAGAAGUUAAGAAAAGGUUAAUAUUAAAAGAUACAAGUCUUGACACGGAUAGGCGCAAGACGAUAUAUUCGAAAAGAGAUAUUUUCGAGAAAUGAAAGGUUGAUAUAAAUUAAACAUGAUGUGACCCGAUCAGGGUCAAGAAAUACAAUGUGAAGUAGAAUCACAAUAUAACCAAGCGAGCGGUAAAGAGUAACCGGACUAAUAAGUCUAGUUAGUGAGACCGGUUAAGGUCAUUUAAACAAAUUUGGUUGCGUAUAAGCAGAGGAUUCGGUAUAACUGAACCGAAUAAAUGAACUUGAAAACAAAAGAAAUUGUAGUUAAAAAAAUGAAAGAUUUCACUAAAGACCUUUAAACAGGUCAAGGAAACUGAUUCACAAAGGGUUCGAUAAUAUGGAUAUCGCUAAAUUAACUAAACUAGUAGAAAUAACGAAAUUACGUUAUUUCAAGUUGCAUUAUGUCAAAUGGGGCACGUAGAUGUUUUGUAACCAAAAAGGUAUUACCAUAAUUUUCUGGUAAUACUAACAAUCGAUUAAAAUAAGAGCAAUGCUCAAUUGAUUAUUGAGAGCAUAUGCAUGGAGUUAAACUCUAUAAAUUAUGAAGGAAAAAGGUUUCGAGGACGAAACCUCUUUAAGGGGGGUAGACUUGUAACACUCCAAAAACGGGUUUGGUAAUCAAACCCCGUUAAUACUAAAAGACGGGUAAAGUACCAUUAGUAAUAAAAUUUACCCGGUGAAUAUUAGGAAUUUUAAGUAAAUAAACCUAAUAUUUAAUAAAAAGAUAAAUAAAGGUCUAUAUAUAAAUAAAGUUUAUAAAAGGUCUGAGUUAACGGGACCUAAAAUAAACUUAGUCGUAAAUAUCCCCGAAACCCGCUAAGUUAACUAGAAAUGUAUGGUUUAGUUAAUAAGAGGGAUUGUGGAUUUAAAAUAAGAAGGGUGUAACAUCCCGAAAAUACACAUUCUUAAAUUUGUAUUUAGUUACAAAUAAAAUUGGUAAAAUAAACUAACCAGGAUUGGCAUUAACCUAGUUAAAUGACAACUUAUGAGUAGUUAAAAUGUUAAAACAAAAGAAAAAUGAAACUUGAGGGACUAAAGUUGUGUAAGUGAAAACUAGUAAUAAUAAAACAAAAAAAAAAUUAAAACACAACACUUGUUUGUGUUGUUGGGUUCGAUCAGAAGGCAGGGGGCGACUUCAAGCUCCCCAAAACCCUAGUUCACAUCAAAAACCACCAAUUGAAGGAUCAAAUCGAGUCCAAAACGAAAACCGAGCAUAUAUUCGUGAUCCCCAUUGAAAGGAGAUCAUAAGUUUGUCGCCUAACGAGCUAGGUGGAGGCUUGAAAAAGAAGCGGUCAAACGAAUCAAGCACGAGAAGAAAACGUAUUCGGAUGCGAGGUAAGUAGAGCUUACGCCCCUUUACAUUAUUUGCAAAGUUACUUAAUUUCAAGUAAUGAUAUGAAUGCUACUAAGUGGUUGGUAUAUGAUAUUCCGACGCGAUUCAAUGAGAGUUGGAAUGAGGGGAAAAUGGUAAAUUAGUCAUGUAAUGACGAAUAAUUAAAAACGGUUUUAAGUAAAACAAGUUCAAAGAAAACCGAGAUAGGUAAAAGGGGUGAAAUGGUAAUUAAAUGCCAUCUCAACACGGACAAAUGGUCAAUUAGACUAAAUGGGUCAAAUGGUGUGGAUAACACCAUUUGGCAAUAACAAUUGACAAUCGCUUGUUGAGUUUUGUGAUUUCAGGAAAUAACAUGUGUUGCGUUGCUUUAAUUAGAAAAUUUAAAGCAAGAAGUAUGUAAACGGGUCAAUACUAUGAUCCGAGCCAGGUACGCAUACGUGAAUUUAUAGUUAAAAGUGCAAGAAGGUCUAACAUCUAGCCGAAAUCCUUCAUUUCAAAAUGAAGGACUAAAUGUGACCAAAGAGCCCUUAAUAGGUAAACAAUGUAAACGACCCUUAGAGGUUGCCUAGAAACUUAUAUUAUGAGUUUGAAACCCUUAGAUGUGUAUAAAAGUUCUAGGCAAAAACAAUUGCGGGUCGAACGCCUAGAAAUAGUUAAUUGCGGAAAAAUGACCAACCGAUAGGUAAAAUUGGGAAAAAGGGGUUCAUAUGUUAAAUCCACCACAAAAUAGUUGUGGUGGAAUAUUUCUAGUUAAUUAGACAUGGAAAAUAUUGUAGUAUCAAAAGAAAAGCAAAAGUUCUAGACCAAAAUGCGUAAAUACCCUUAACGGGUCGAAAUAGAAGUAUUAGCGAAACGAGUUAAGAAUGUGUAAUAACCCGUGAUUUGAACCUUGUGCAAUAGGAAAUAAUCAUAAUAUUAUGUUUACGAAAGAAACAAAGGCCACAAUCAAGUUCGUUAGAUGAAUUCAUGAACGGGUCAAAAUUUGGGUAAAAAUGGUAAUAAGCCGAAGACUUAAAAGUCUUAAAUUUUUGUUAAUCCGGAUGUCGGAUUUUAACUCCAUAUGAUGGAGAAUUAAAUUAAGGACGCGUAGGAAAAAGAAUCGUGUAAAACGGAUUAAAAACGAGAGAGUUAUGUCCGUUUCGGUAAGAACUAAUGAAAAAUAGACGUGCAGAGUUGACACGGGCGGGUGACUUUUUGACACGGCCGGGUGGCUGGGCUGUGAAAAAUAUAUGUUAACUGAUACGGCCGGGUGACUUUUUGACACGGCCGGGUGAAGGGGCUGAAAACAAAACAAAAAUAAUUUCUUGUUUUGUUACGUUAUGCACGGAACUUGUUUAUACACGAUUAUUAAAGUGUCAAAACUAAUUAUUUACAUGGUUUUGACCGUAGGUGAAGAUGGGAUAAGCGGUUUGAAAGAUACGAAAGUUUUCGUGCAAAUAAACGGCAAAAUAGGAAAGCUGGAAUGCAGGGGCCACCGUAACUUACGGUGCCACCGUAAGUUACGGUGGAGCUGAAGGCUUUACGGCAGCCCCCUACUGAUUUACGGUAGGGGCAUGUCACACCAGGGGCCACCGUAACUUACGGUGCCACCGUAAGUUACGGUGGAGGCCAGUUGGAAAUCCAUGUUUUGAGAUCAAAAGUUUAACGUUCUUUUUGGAUGCCGGAAGACGAUCAAGCUCAUCGAAGGACCGAACACGAUAAAGAUACAUGCUUCCGCACAUUUCCUCGUCGUAAAUUUUUAAACGACAAACUCGAUCACUUAUGUUGAAUAACUUAUGAUUUGUAAAAGUUUUAAUAAACUCGUAUUUUCAUAGUAUGUGUAAACUUAAUUACACAUCUAAUUGUUGGUAUUUAUAUAUAUAUAAACAAAAAAAAAACGUUAAAUAGUAA